rnacentral:rRNA from 1 species
AGUGAGCGCUGGCGGUAGGCCUAACACAUGCAAGUCGAACGGCAGCACAGUAAGAGCUUGCUCUUACGGGUGGCGAGUGGCGGACGGGUGAGGAAUACAUCGGAAUCUACUUUUUCGUGGGGGAUAACGUAGGGAAACUUACGCUAAUACCGCAUACGACCUACGGGUGAAAGCAGGGGAUCUUCGGACCUUGCGCGAUUGAAUGAGCCGAUGUCGGAUUAGCUAGUUGGCGGGGUAAAGGCCCACCAAGGCGACGAUCCGUAGCUGGUCUGAGAGGAUGAUCGGCCCCACUGAAACUAGAAACCGGUCCAACCCCCACGGGAGGCAGCAGUGGGGAAUAUUGGACAAUGGGCGCAAGCCUGAUCCAGCCAUACCGCGUGGGUGAAGAAGGCCUUCGGGUUGUAAAGCCCUUUUGUUGGGAAAGAAAAGCAGCAGGUUAAUACCCCGCUGUUCUGACGGUACCCAAAGAAUAAGCACCGGCUAACUUCGUG